rnacentral:rRNA from 1 species
CGAACGGUAACAGGAAGAAGCUUGCUUCUUUGCUGACGAGUGGCGGACGGGUGAGUAAUGUCUGGGAAACUGCCUGAUGGAGGGGGAUAACUACUGGAAACGGUAGCUAAUACCGCAUAACGUCGCAAGACCAAAGAGGGGGACCUUCGGGCCUCUUGCCAUCGGAUGUGCCCAGAUGGGAUUAGCUAGUAGGUGGGGUAACGGCUCACCUAGGCGACGAUCCCUAGCUGGUCUGAGAGGAUGACCAGCCACACUGGAACUGAGACACGGUCCAGACUCCUACGGGAGGCAGCAGUGGGGAAUAUUGCACAAUGGGCGCAAGCCUGAUGCAGCCAUGCCGCGUGUAUGAAGAAGGCCUUCGGGUUGUAAAGUACUUUCAGCGGGGAGGAAGGGAGUAAAGUUAAUACCUUUGCUCAUUGACGUUACCCGCAGAAGAAGCACCGGCUAACUCCGUGCCAGCAGCCGCGGUAAUACGGAGGGUGCAAGCGUUAAUCGGAAUUACUGGGCGUAAAGCGCACGCAGGCGGUUUGUUAAGUCAGAUGUGAAAUCCCCGGGCUCAACCUGGGAACUGCAUCUGAUACUGGCAAGCUUGAGUCUCGUAGAGGGGGGUAGAAUUCCAGGUGUAGCGGUGAAAUGCGUAGAGAUCUGGAGGAAUACCGGUGGCGAAGGCGGCCCCCUGGACGAAGACUGACGCUCAGGUGCGAAAGCGUGGGGAGCAAACAGGAUUAGAUACCCUGGUAGUCCACGCCGUAAACGAUGUCGACUUGGAGGUUGUGCCCUUGAGGCGUGGCUUCCGGAGCUAACGCGUUAAGUCGACCGCCUGGGGAGUACGGCCGCAAGGUUAAAACUCAAAUGAAUUGACGGGGGCCCGCACAAGCGGUGGAGCAUGUGGUUUAAUUCGAUGCAACGCGAAGAACCUUACCUGGUCUUGACAUCCACGGAAGUUUUCAGAGAUGAGAAUGUGCCUUCGGGAACCGUGAGACAGGUGCUGCAUGGCUGUCGUCAGCUCGUGUUGUGAAAUGUUGGGUUAAGUCCCGCAACGAGCGCAACCCUUAUCCUUUGUUGCCAGCGGUCCGGCCGGGAACUCAAAGGAGACUGCCAGUGAUAAACUGGAGGAUGGUGGGGGUGACGUCAAGUCAUCAUGGCCCUUACGACCAGGGCUACACACGUGCUACAAUGGCGCAUACAAAGAGAAGCGACCUCGCGAGAGCAAGCGGACCUCAUAAAGUGCGUCGUAGUCCGGAUUGGAGUCUGCAACUCGACUCCAUGAAGUCGGAAUCGCUAGUAAUCGUGGAUCAGAAUGCCACGGUGAAUACGUUCCCGGGCCUUGUACACACCGCCCGUCACACCAUGGGAGUGGGUUGUAAAAGAAGUAGGUAGCUUAACCUUCGGGAGGGCGCUUACCACUUUGUGAUUCAUGACUGGGGUGAAGUCGUAACAAGGUAACCGUAGGGGAACCUGCGGUUG